rnacentral:rRNA from 1 species
GUUUGAUCAUGGCUCAGAUUGAACGCUGGCGGCAGGCCUAACACAUGCAAGUCGAACGGUAACAGGAAGCAGCUUGCUGCUUCGCUGACGAGUGGCGGACGGGUGAGUAAUGUCUGGGAAACUGCCUGAUGGAGGGGGAUAACUACUGGAAACGGUAGCUAAUACCGCAUAACGUCGCAAGACCAAAGAGGGGGACCUUCGGGCCUCUUGCCAUCGGAUGUGCCCAGAUGGGAUUAGCUAGUAGGUGGGGUAACGGCUCACCUAGGCGACGAUCCCUAGCUGGUCUGAGAGGAUGACCAGCCACACUGGAACUGAGACACGGUCCAGACUCCUACGGGAGGCAGCAGUGGGGAAUAUUGCACAAUGGGCGCAAGCCUGAUGCAGCCAUGCCGCGUGUAUGAAGAAGGCCUUCGGGUUGUAAAGUACUUUCAGCGGGGAGGAAGGGAGUAAAGUUAAUACCUUUGCUCAUUGACGUUACCCGCAGAAGAAGCACCGGCUAACUCCGUGCCAGCAGCCGCGGUAAUACGGAGGGUGCAAGCGUUAAUCGGAAUUACUGGGCGUAAAGCGCACGCAGGCGGUUUGUUAAGUCAGAUGUGAAAUCCCCGGGCUCAACCUGGGAACUGCAUCUGAUACUGGCAAGCUUGAGUCUCGUAGAGGGGGGUAGAAUUCCAGGUGUAGCGGUGAAAUGCGUAGAGAUCUGGAGGAAUACCGGUGGCGAANGCGGCCCCCUGGACGAAGACUGACGCUCAGGUGCGAAAGCGUGGGGAGCAAACAGGAAUAGAUACCCUGGUAGUCCACGCCGUAAACGAUGUCGACUUGAAGUUGUGCCCCUGAGGCGUGGCUUCCGGAGCUAACGCGUUAAGUCGACCGCCUGGGGAGUACGGCCGCAAGGUUAAAACUCAAAUGAAUUGACGGGGGCCCGCACAAGCGGUGGAGCAUGUGGUUUAAUUCGAUGCAACGCGAAGAACCUUACCUGGUCUUGACAUCCACAGAACUUUCCAGAGAUGGAUUGGUGCCUUCGGGAACUGUGAGACAGGUGCUGCAUGGCUGUCGUCAGCUCGUGUUGUGAAAUGUUGGGUUAAGUCCCGCAACGAGCGCAACCCUUAUCCUUUGUUGCCAGCGGUCCGGCCGGGAACUCAAAGGAGACUGCCAGUGAUAAACUGGAGGAAGGUGGGGAUGACGUCAAGUCGUCAUGGCCCUUACGACCAGGGCUACACACGUGCUACAAUGGCGCAUACAAAGAGAAGCGACCUCGCGAGAGCAAGCGGACCUCAUAAAGUGCGUCGUAGUCCGGAUUGGAGUCUGCAACUCGACUCCAUGAAGUCGGAAUCGCUAGUAAUCGUGGAUCAGAAUGCCACGGUGAAUACGUUCCCGGGCCUUGUACACACCGCCCGUCACACCAUGGGAGUGGGUUGCAAAAGAAGUAGGUAGCUUAACCUUCGGGAGGGCGCUUACCACUUUGUGAUUCAUGACUGGGGUGAAGUCGUAACAAGGU